GGCGCGAUAGCCAAGUGGCUAAGGCAUCGGAUUGCAAAUCCGUGUACCGUGGGUUCGAAUCCCACUCGCGCCU
rnacentral:tRNA from 1 species